UUGCACUCCACCUUGGGCAACAGAGUGAGACUUCAUCUAAAAAAAAAAAAAAAAAGAAACAAAAAAAACAACAAAAAACACUUCUUAUAGUGCCUAUACAAUGCAAACAUGUAUCCCAAAAUAAAUGAAACUAUUUGCUAUGUCACUCUUAGGUUUACCCCAAAGCACAUAGACCGUUUUCACUGCUCAAGCUGCUGCCUACAAAACAGGAGAGGCCAAGCCAUGCACAGAAAUUCACCAAAAUGCACAGAUUCACCCAUCAAUAUACAUACUUGCCUCACAACUCACACAAACACCACUGAGCACUGAGACUCACCCUAAAUGUACAGACAAGCCCUUCAGGGCACAGACUUACUCUGUAACAUACUAAAUCACAUCCCCCAUACUUAGAUGCGCCUUAUGAUUCACAGUGAUGCGUGUAAACACAUAACUGCUUCCACAAUGCACAGAAUUGCAUCAUAACACAGACUUACUCUACAGUGCAAAACCGACAGUGCACAUAAACAUUUCCCAGUCGGUAGACACACAACACACAUAUUACUCCUACAAUGUAAAGAUUUCCAUCAUGGUGGACAGACAUGCUUUUCCAUGCUGUUGAGCUACAACUCUGGCCUACAACGACAGAAAUACAGCUUGUGUAAUAGUUACCAGCAAGGCCUCUAGACCCAUACUAACUGGGUUUGAAUCAAGGUCCCAUUCCUUGCUGAUUGUAUCACCUUGGGAGGAGUUGGAAGAUUGAGAGUGGAGUGGAAGAAUGGGAAGAGGGCUUCGUGCCCAGUGCACAUUUGCCACCUAGUGACCAAACUGAAUGGUGUGCGUCUCACCUCAGCCUGGUAGCCUGACCUUGACUCCUGAGUUCCACGAUCGCUUCACAACUGCAAGUCACUAUCAUACAAAAUUUGAGUUUCCCUAAGUCCGCGCCUUUGAGAGCUUUGGAAUGAUAUGCAAGUUCAAGCCACCAUCCUGUUUCUUGCUACCUCCUGUGAGAAGACCAAAUUUGGGUUACUUGUUUCUACUCUUGUUCUUCUGCUUGUUAUUGUUGCCUCUGCAGCCAUUGAUCACACACGUGUUGUCAUACAAAAACUGGUUAGCCUUUUUAUUUGUCUUGUGAAUUUUAUCAUUUGGUUCUUAAGUAUUACAAAUUAAUAAUGCGUACUCCCAUUGAUAUACAACUUUCAGUCAUUGUAAAUAUGCAUGAGUUAGGGUGAGAAUGGCAUGCAAGCAAAAGAACAAGAAGAGGGA